rnacentral:rRNA from 1 species
UGGGGAAUUUUUGACAAUGGGGGAAACCCUGAUCCAGCCAUCCCGCGUGUGCGAUGAAGGCCUUCGGGUUGUAAAGCACUUUUGGCAGGAAAGAAACGUCAUGGGUUAAUACCCCGUGAAACUGACGGUACCUGCAGAAUAAGCACCGGCUAACUACGUGCCAGCAGCCGCGGUAAUACGUAGGGUGCAAGCGUUAAUCGGAAUUACUGGGCGUAAAGCGUGCGCAGGCGGUUCGGAAAGAAAGAUGUGAAAUCCCAGAGCUCAACUUUGGAACUGCAUUUUUAACUACCGGGCUAGAGUGUGUCAGAGGGAGGGGGAAUUCCGCGUGUAGGAGUGAAAUGCGUAGAUAUGCGGAGGAACACCGAUGGCGAAGGCAGCCACCUGGGAUAACACUGACGCUCAUGCACGAAAGCGUGGGGAGCAAACAGG